rnacentral:rRNA from 1 species
ACCCUUGAGAUUGGGACAACCAUGGGAAACUGUGGCUAAUACCGGAUAAGCUCACAGAUGAUAUCAUCAGGGAGAAAAGGCGGGGAUCUUCGGACCUGCCGCUUAGGGAUGAGUCUAAGUCCUAUCAUGCUUGUUGGUGGGGUAACUGCCUACCAAGGCUUUGACGGGUAGCCGGCCUGAGAGGGUGAACGGCCACACUGGAACUGAGACACGGUCCAGACUCCUACGGGAGGCAGCAGUGAGGAAUUUUCCGCAAUGGGCGAAAGCCUGACGGAGCGAUGCCGCGUGAGGGAAGAAUGCCUUCGGGUAGUAAACCUCUGUUGUUAGGGAAGAAGGGUUACACCUUAAUAGGGUGUAUACUUUGACGGUACCUGACGAGGAAGCCCCGGCUAACUACGUGCCAGCAGCCGCGGUAAUACGUAGGGGGCGAGCGUUGUUCGGAAUUACUGGGCGUAAAGCGUGUGCAGGCGGUUCUAUAAGUUAGAUGUGAAAGCCAGGGGCUCAACCUCUGAAUUGCAUCUAAAACUGUAGUACUAGAGUAUGGUAGGGAAGAGCGGAAUUCCUGGUGUAGCAGUGAAAUGCGCAGAUAUCAGGAGGAACACCGGAGGCGAAGGCGGCUCUUUGGGCCAAUACUGACGCUGAGACACGAAAGCGUGGGGAGCAAACAGGAUUAGAUACCCUGGUAGUCCACGCCGUAAACGAUGAGAACUAGGCGUAGGGGGGACUGAAUCCUUCUGUGCCGAAGCUAACGCAUUAAGUUCUCCGCCUGGGGAGUACGGUCGCAAGAUUAAAACUCAAAGGAAUUGACGGGGGCCCGCACAAGCGGUGGAGUAUGUGGUUUAAUUCGAUAUACGCGAGAAACCUUACCCAGACUUGACAUCCCUCUGAAAACCUGUGUAAUGCAGGUCCUCCUUCGGGACAGAGGUGACAGGUGGUGCAUGGUUGUCGUCAGCUCGUGUCGUGAGAUGUUGGGUUAAGUCCCGCAACGAGCGCAACCCUUGCGAUUAUUUGCCAGCAUUUUGGAUGGGGACUAUAAUCGGACUGCCGGCGACAAGCCGGAGGAAGGUGGGGAUGACGUCAAAUCAUCACGCCCUUUAUGUCUGGGGCUACACACGUACUACAAUGGCCGAUACAGCGAGUUGCGACACUGCGAAGUGAAGCCAAUCUCUUAAAGUCGGUCUAAGUUCGGAUUGCAGGCUGAAACUCGCCUGCAUGAAGCUGGAAUCGCUAGUAACCGUAAAUCAGCACGUUACGGUGAAUACGUUCUCGGGCCUUGUACACACCGCCCGUCACACCAUGGAAGAAGGUAACGCCCGACGCCGGUGAGCUAACCUGUCAAAAGGGAGCAGCUGUCUAAGGUGGGAUCUUUGACUGGGGUGAAGUCAACAAGGUA